UUAAAGAGCGAGUGGCGAACUGGUGAGUAACACGUGGGUAACCUGCCCCGAAGCGGGGGAUAACAUUUGGAAACAAGUGCUAAUACCGCAUAAUUAGUUGGAACCGCAUGGUUCCAACUUGAAAGAUGGCUCUGCUAUCACUUUGGGAUGGACCCGCGCCGUAUUAGUUAGUUGGUGAGAUAAAAGCCCACCAAGACGAUGAUACGUAGCCGACCUGAGAGGGUAAUCGGCCACAUUGGGACUGAGACACGGCCCAGACUCCUACGGGAGGCAGCAGUAGGGAAUCUUCCACAAUGGACGAAAGUCUGAUGGAGCAACGCCGCGUGAGUGAUGAAGGUUUUCGGAUCGUAAAACUCUGUUGUUAAAGAAGAACAAGUGUUAGAGUAACUGUUAACACUUUGACGGUAUUUAACCAGAAAGCCACGGCUAACUACGUGCCAGCAGCCGCGGUAAUACGUAGGUGGCAAGCGUUGUCCGGAUUUAUUGGGCGUAAAGCGAGCGCAGGCGGUUUUGUAAGUCUGCUGUGAAAGCCCUCAGCUCAACUGAGGAAGUGCAGUGGAAACUACAAAACUUGAGUACAGAAGAGGAAAGUGGAACUCCAUGUGUAGCGGUGAAAUGCGUAGAUAUAUGGAAGAACACCAGUGGCGAAGGCGGCUUUCUGGUCUGUUACUGACGCUGAGGCUCGAAAGCAUGGGUAGCGAACAGGAUUAGAUACCCUGGUAGUCCAUGCCGUAAACGAUGAAUACUAGGUGUUGGAGGGUUUCCGCCCUUCAGUGCCGCAGNCUAACGCAUUAAGUAUUCCGCCUGGGGAGUACGNCCGCAAGGUUGAAACUCAAAGGAAUUGACGGGGGCCCGCACAAGUGGUGGAGCAUGUGGUUUAAUUCGAUGCUACGCGAAGAACCUUACCAGCUCUUGACAUCUUCUGCCAACCCAAGAGAUUGGGCGUUCCCUUCGGGGACAGAAUGACAGGUGGUGCAUGGUUGUCGUCAGCUCGUGUCGUGAGAUGUUGGGUUAAGUCCCGCAACGAGCGCAACCCUUAUUAUUAGUUGCCAGCAUUUAGUUGGGCACUCUAGUGAGACUGCCGGUGAUAAACCGGAGGAAGGUGGGGACGACGUCAAAUCAUCAUGCCCCUUAUGAGCUGGGCUACACACGUGCUACAAUGGAUGGUACAACGAGUCGCGAAACCGCGAGGUCAAGCUAAUCUCUUAAAGCCAUUCUCAGUUCGGAUUGCAGGCUGCAACUCGCCUGCAUGAAGUUGGAAUCACUAGUAAUCGUGGAUCAGCAUGCCACGGUGAAUACGUUCCCGGGCCUUGUAGCAACACCGCCCGUCACACCAUGAGAGUUUGUA
rnacentral:rRNA from 2 species